ACUUUCGUUUUAUUUAUCACUGGAGGAAGAGCAAUGCCAUAAUAAACAGUGCUGGGAGAUUUCCAGCAGAACAGGUUUUUGUCAGAGGAUGCUGAUUUGUCGUAAGCAAAAUAUUUCGCAGAAGCACAUCUGUUUGGGUGAACUUCCGCUGCAGCCCAGGCAGGUUUCCAUCACUGUCCUGCCUGACUUCCGGCCAGCCUGCCUGGCCGCUCUCCAGGCUCCGGGACGGCUCGGGACUAAACCUGGGAUUCUUUCUGAUUCCUUGUUUUGUUUUGUUUUUUUUUCCCCUCUCUUUUGAAACGAGAGGUAAAAGGUCUUGGAAGAAAUAUAAACCAGCCCUGCAUGCCUUUUUCCAAUUGUUCAGCAUUCGUUUUGUGGGGGUUUUUUUAAUAAUGAUGACAUUGCACAGCACAUCUUGAUUUGUUACAUGGGAGAGCCAGAAUAGCUUUCCUCCCUGAUGAAGGUUAAGCUGCCCUGGAAAUGAAACAGUUUUCAUGCCAUGUUGAGCUUCAUUUCAGAGCAUUUCCUGGAGAACUGGUGCCAGUAUCUUCUCCUCCUCCCUAUUUUCUAAACACUUAAUUGCAUCGCAGUCCCUCUGAAACAGCAGUGCCUUUCUGCUCUGUCUCCUUCACUUGCUUCUCCCAGCCUGGUCUCUAAUUCAGAGACUGCAUCUACCUCUCAUAUGACUUCUGGACACUUGCAGUUGCUGGUCAUCAUGGUUGACAACAGGUGGUUUCCUGGGACCUCGGGCACCAGAUUUACUCUAGAAAUCCACCUCAGUGGCCGGCUGCUUGUGUAUUAGCUCUGCUGCUGCUUCCUGCUUUAUCUGCCCCAUUUUUAUUGGAUACUUCCUUGCACUUCAGCCUGCACCCGCUGGGUGGUUGUUUGGGGUUUUUCUUUACAGUGGGGUUAUCUGCAAGCAGAACCCUGUGCAGAAGUGUGCCCAGGAUCUUAGGCUUCAUAGAUGAAGCAAAUUCUCUUCCACCUCUGAGCUCAGGUUACAGGCAUUCAGCUUUAUCUGCCUUUGUACUCCAGGCUCAACACUUCUUUCUUUCAACUCUCCUAUAGUUGUUGCUUUUUUUCUUUUUUCUUUUUUUCCCUUCAGACCAUAAGUUUCAUCAGUAUCUGUGUACUUGGAUUAACUUGGCCUUGAAAAGCAGCUGACUAAGAAGCAUUUGGUCAAAAUCGAGAAGAUCUGGUAUUUGGAAUCCUGCACAGACAAUGUCUAUGACUUUGAAUGUAUUCCUGCUUUCCUGUGCUGCAGCUCUGGGCCUUGUCCCACUCUCCUUUACAUCACCCUAUUGACUGCUGGUCUUCAGCACCAGAUUUUCCAAAUGCUCAUCAUCCAUAAUAUUGCAGCAGAUUUUCAACAGUGGGAAGCCACCAGCUGUGACAUUUACAGCCAGGCCCAAAUCCUCAAAAGAACUUGGCAUACUGCCCCAAAUCUGGUCUCAGUCAUGGAUGUGCAGUGCUUUCCAGCAGGAGUGAGAGCCCCAGUAUUGGGACCAACCCGGUUCUGCACAGAGGAACCUUGGCUCAGAUGUGUGCUGUCAAGAUGAAGGGGGAAGGAAGUGCCUUUCAGACAUAGGGAUUCUGCUUUGUGGUGCUUGCUGUACCACAGGGCAGCUGUUACAAAAUGAUAGUUACAAACAGGAGGAACCCAUAAAUACAAAACACAUUUUAAAUUAAGGAAGUCAUGUGGCUGGCCCACUGCAUUCAGUGACUGAUACGAAAUUAGCCACUCAAGUUUGGCACAUUACAGCUACACAAAUUAAAGCAGGUCUUUAAACUGUGAGUCUCUGAAUUACCUUCAGUAGAUCUAUAAAAGGUCUCCAGGAAAACAGGAUUCGUGUUCAUUAUACUGGAUCUUAUGUUUCCACCUAUAAUAUCACUGAAUGAUGCUUAGAGGUGCACAAAUUCAAAACAGAUUUUAGAAAAAAACAGUGGAAUAGAAUUACAAUCAGCAUUAAAAUGGGAGUUUUGAAGUGCAUAACCACUAAAUUACUUGUAGAAGUAGGUUUCUUGUCCUUCUGCCACACUGAAAACAUAUCUGAAGGUAAAAUCAAGCAGAGUGAAAUCACUGAAUGCAGGAUUAUGGUUAUUCAAGGGCCAGCUGGCCCUUCUAAUUGGCCCUCAAAAACUGUCCUAUCUAUUUUGAGAGCAGAAGAAUGAAGGCAGUUGAGCAAUUUUUAGACUAACCCCAAUAUGUGUUAAAAAGACAAACAAGAAAGCAUCACACACAAAAAAGUCACCAAGCCAAAAACAAGCAAGCAAGCCAAGACCCCACCAAGACUCUGAUGGUGAGUAAGGUCACUGCCUAGGGUGCUCCCACAACCUGCAUACAGACAAAGCUGCAGGAGACCACAUGUGGUGCAGGAAGGCAUGGCAACGCUCCUGGGCCUUGUCCUGGGGACAACCUCUUACUCUCCAUUUGUAUUUUGGUACAUUGCUAGUAUGUUCAGGCUCCCACAGUCCUUCACAGCAAGUAAAUACAGACAUAUCAUGCCUGAACACUUCCACACCGUCCCCCACAUACACAGACAGUGGCUGAAACUCUGCCCUGCCAAGGUCAGUGGGAACAUUUGUCAUGAACUCCGGUGCAGGCAGGAUUUCCCUUCUGGACACGCACCUCCUCCAGGAUGUGUGAGCAUGUGAGUGUAUGUGUAUAUACAGAAGCUUUACAGUACAAAGCACUUAGAGAAAGGCAUCUUCUCUCUUUAAAUGUUUUUCUUUGACUUGGUAUUGCAUUAAAUCAGAUCCUCACUAUCAAAGCCACAGUUUCUUGUGACUUAAUGGCAUUAAAGAGCCCUUCUUGCUGGGAGCUCUGCAAUAACAAUCAGGCAGGAGGAAGAGGAAACGAGCUGCGUAGCACACUCUGUACCUUGCAGCUACCAGCUAUUGUUAGAAGCACGUUGCUCCAGACAGAGUGGCAGCAAGGCACAGAGUGGGAAGCAGGUGUAACCUGCCAGGAACACCAGUCUAGCAAAAGCUGUUCUUUAAUUCUGAUGAGUACCCCUCCUUCUCAUCUACAUCCUUUGAAAGAGAUUUUGCAUUCUUACUGAUCAACCCUUGAAAGCUUAGAUAAUGUAUUUAUGGCAAACCAAGAGCUCAUUUUGUCAUGUUAGUACGUUGGUCAUUCAUCUGCAAAGUCACUGAUCCUUUUUUCUUCUGCUCCCUGUCAUAACAUAGCAUUUUAGAUGCAACACUGAAAUCCCAAGAAGCAUGUUUCCAGAUGCUUAGCUGUAGUCUGGAUUCUUUAUGGAAGUGAACAAAAUCCUCCUUGCACGCCCUGCCUAUCCCAUUCUUUUCAUUGCAUAAAAUUCAGAAAGAGAAAGCCUGACUAGUGGAGGCUGCCCAGGCUCCAGCAGGCCUAAUGGAACACUUUGUUCAGGAGUGUAGAGCUAUGCCUAGCAUGGCUGGCUGGGUUCAGACUGCUACUGGGUGACCCAAGCCCAGCUCAAUUACCACACCCUUAAAUUCACCUGCAGUGUGUUGCUAGAGAGCUAGUCUGCCCUCGGCAGGCCUGGAGCUGCUCUCAGUCAUCCACUGAGAGUUUAUAAAUAUCAGUGUGGUGGGCCUAGCCAGACUAUGCAAAGCCAGCCGUCUACAAAUUUAACCCUUUUCUUCAUUUAGUGUGGGAGUUACUGUUCUGCAGUGCAAUAUUAAAGCCUGUUUGUGACCAUGUUCAGUUCACCGUGCUCUUGAUUUGCAGCCUGUACUAACACCUUGGUUUUGGAUACCUGCCUCUUUGCUGAGUGCUUGCACACUGUGCAGUUCAACAUAAAUAAGCAAGUCCAGUCGAGCUGCCGCAUUGUAAACAAGCAUGAUGAAAAAUCAUGUCUAUGCCUGCUACGUCCCCUCAUGAUAUUGCCUCUGCUCUGUGUCCUCCACUGAGGCCUGGAGAUGAAGUACCGCCUCAUAUACCCCACUCAUGAAAUGCAUGCCCUGGCUGUUUCCUGCUUAGGGCUAUACAUCAGCUGCAGGACACAUCUUGGCCAGGGAGUCAGUAGACCAUACGAAGGCCUGGCAUUUUCCAUCCCUUACUAAGUGUUAUCUCGGCUUGUCCCUUAUAUGUUCUUUCUCCUUACAGCUAUUGGUCAUCCUUUAUCAUGGCAUCACUGUGGGGAAGAGGAUCCACCCUUGUUUCCCUCUAUCCUUCAUGCAGCAACUUCAGCUCCAGUAAGACUUCUCCAGGUUUUCUUCAGAAGCUGGCUCAAAACACUGCCAAUGUCCCCAGGCAUCUCCCCCAGCAAUUCUUUCACAGUUUUCUCAUCCUCUUCCCCAGUUGUUCUUGUGUCAUUCACAGCUGAUACUGCCUUCUUCCUAGUAGCCUGAGUGGAACGAUGCUAGAAAACAAUAAGAAAAAGAACUCAGAAAUGGUCUUUACACCAGGGAAAAGUCUCCAAUUCAAAUAGUCCCUUUGUGUUUGGGAAGAAAAAUACAAUUUAUAUCUCAUUACCACAUGAUUCCCCAGUCAUUUGCACUCCUGAGCUCUGUUGCUAUUUUACACUUGCUGCUGAUGUAUGAUUUAGCCUGGAGCUGCAAUGUAUAGAUUCAGACUAUGGGAAAAAGGCUGCAGACUCUGUACUAGUAGUCAGCUGAGCUUUAUUUUACAUAGUGGUGACACUGGACAACAACAACUUAGGUGCAGUUUUGGACUGAACAAGAUACAUUUGUCCCUGCUCUGUGGUGGAAACCCAUCCAUCUGGGCGCCCGAGCGCUGUCAUUGUCUCCUCAUUUAUCACUUCCCACUUGUGACAUCACUUUGUCUAGUUAACAGCAACUUGCCAUCUACAGAGCCAAGAAACUUAGAAAAUGUUCUGAUUUUCAUAUCAGGAAGGGCCAUAAGGUGCAUUUUGCAUAUCGAAUGCCUCAGAAACUGGUUCUGUGAAACUGUAAGCACCCAAAAUGCAAGUGCAUACAAUCCUAUGCUAUCUGCUUGAUGUUUUUGCUUUUGGUACAUUGUUUUUGUACUCUAAUAAAUCUUCUCACAUUCUGCUUUGCAUCUUUCCAUCUGGCACUGCUGACGUCAGAUUAAGGAAUGAAGAAGGAAGAGGGCAAGAAGCUGCCCCCAUUAGGAACUGGGCUGGCACAGUCCAGGCCACAGUACAUAAACUCCUUAAUACAAAGUCCAACCCCCCCCCAUAGAAAAAAAAAGCGCCCUUGUAAGAGCAACAGACUUGUCUGCCUAAUUCUUACAGAGGUGUAAUGCUGCCAGCUGCUCUCAUUGAGGUUGUUUCUCAUCCUGGGGUCUGAGCUGCUGCUGUGUGAGGGGGACAAACAGUGCCCUGGGGACAGUGGUUCCUGCAGCUCUGUCCAGCCCAGCAGGGCUGGCUGGCUGGGGGGAAGCACCAUGCAAAUAUGCUUGUGCUGUCACCAGAGCCAGACCAGUCACAAAGCAGAAUGGCUGCAUCCCUACAGAGCUGAGCCCAACACCAUCAGCUCUACAUAGAGCUGACUGGGAUAUGAGUCUCUCCUGACAAUGAAAGUGCCUGCAACAGAGCAGAGAAACCCAGGCUAUCUGCAGAGGUCUGUUGGUACCUCAGCCCUAUACCUCGACUGGCUCUUCUCCAAGCCCCUACAACACUAGUGCCACCACAGUGUGUGUGUCCCUUCUGCAGCCAGCAUGCUGGGAGGGUAAUGCAGCCAUACCUAAACCCACAGUGAAAAUCAGAGGCAGUUGCACCUGUGCUGUCUCUAAUAUUUCCAUCACCAUGAGUAUCCAGCCUCCUGUAAAGGAAAUUCAUAUGUCAUCUUGUAAUGUCAGGAAAACAGACACUUAGUGUAGUAACCCAUACAUUGACUGUUCUAUCAUCAUGUCUUGCUGCUUCAGAACAGCAGAUCAUAGAUGACAUGUAUCACUGGAGAGAUGCUAACCCUUUCCCUGUAGCUAACAUGUUAUUUCUUUUUUUUUUAAAUUCCAUGCACUACUGUGCUUUAAUGUUGGAUGUGCCAAAAGCACUUUUCAUGUUCUACUUCCAAAAGUCAGUGAUCAAGAGGGAGAAGCAAGACCAGUGCUGAUGGUAUCUGAGAGUGCUCUCUCACUGAAUAUUUUGAGAAUUUAGAUGGUAGAACACCUUCCUCCAAAGCAUUGUUUGUAGAGAUUAAUGAAACCUGUACGUAUUUUACAAAUCUGAUUGGGAGAGAAUUUCUUGAAUUUAGAAAAACUUGACACUAUUGCAGCUUGUCUAGAUUGAAAUGAAAACUAAUUUCAACAUGUUGAAAAUCCCACCAAAGUGGAAAUUUCCAGUUCUAAUCUGCUCUGAAGAUCACACAAAUAACAUUUCAUAUUUUUAUGGCAGCAGAUCAGAACAGCAUAAUUCCUUUCUUCCAUAUGGCAAGGAUGAUGCAAAAUAAUAGCUGGAGUGAGAAAAAAAAAAAUCUGUGACUAUUUGAAAUACAAAGAGGAAGAGCUUCAUUGAAAUUAUCUCUUUGGAACAUCAUUCCUCCUAACUCAGAGCUCCUCAGCACACGUUUGGCACAAGCUCUGCUAGGGUUUGCUUCUGCACUACUGACAGCUAGAGAUGCAGAAUCCCAGAUGCAUUUUUUUCUCCACCAAAAGUGAUUGGCGUAAAAUCAAACUAGUCCUGUGCUGUCUGGCUUGAAGUCCCUCUGCAGAAUAUAAUAGCUGUCCUACUAAUAUUGCAGUAUUUUCUUUCAAUUCAUUGACUGGGUGAUUAGUGAAAAAAGAACAAAUUUGUGAAGAUGAGGAUUUUCCCUCCAUGCCAGCACUAGGCCGGACCUCCCCAUGUCCCGUGCAGGCCAUAGUGGAUGACAGUAUCUCCCUGGAGAGCUGAUGGCACUGCAAAGAGACCGUGCCUCCACUGCUCCAAACAAGGAGCUUUUUACAGCAAAACAGCUGAUAUGAAUGGCCUUUUUUGUCUGUGAAGAAAGAGUGUGUUUCCAGGCAUGUGCAGGGCACAGACAUGGCAGCUGCUGAGGGAGCAGUGCUUGGCCAAGCUGGAGAUCCCGCUGGGCAGAACCGAAAUAGCACAUGACCUCAUCACCCAUUAAAGAAUAAGUUGUCCUGCACCACGGGCAUCAAUCAUCCAUGACUCCUUCACAAGAAUCUGGGGUGAACGAUUAAUUCACAAGAGUUAAAUGUCCACUAACACAUACACAAAAAGGCUCAUAGGGUCUACCACUCUAAAAAAAAAAAGUAACAAACAGAAACUACUACUUCUUAUUCGUUAUAAAGUGAGGGGGGGAAAAAACAUUGCAGAAAUAUAAGCAACUGCCCUGAACUUUUCAUUUUUUUAAACAUAAAUGAAACAUUUUCUUCCAUGUUAGAUCUUGAGUGAUGCUGUUUCCGUUCUCUUCCUUUGACAAUUUGUGAGAUGAAUUGGAGACCUGAGAUAUCUCACUCUAUUUGCAUUCAGUUCAGUGAAGAGUUUAAGACAUCCCUUUCUUACAGAGAAGGAAUUACUUUUUUUCCCCUCCAGUGAUAUAUUUACAUAUCUUCUGCACUUACUUUACCAUCUUUUUAAAAUAAAGUCAUCACCACCUUGAAAUGUUUACUUAGGAUUAUGUUCUCUUAGACCAGUGCAGGUGAAAUUAUGUCUUUCCUUAUCCAAAGAAGACACAAACAUCCUGUAGGAACAAAGUUCUCAGGAUCCUUCCAUAGAAAUGUUCACAUACACACUAGCAAAGAGGUUUUAUGUUCUGUAUGCAUGGGUAGUUUGGAAGGUAUAUAGGCAAAGUAAAGCAUGCUGCUUUAGAUACUUGUGUCACAUGCUAUUGAUCAUGCAUGUGAGACUAUGAUAAUUAGGAAACCAAUGGACAAAGCAGCUGGCAUUGCUAUCCAUCUUGAGCAUAAUAAAAAUUUGUUUAGUUUUAAUUUCACUUCAUGGAAAUUGGAAAUUUUCCGAUCAUUGUAUUGAUUAUAUAAUUAUUAUUGUUAAGUAGUACAGUGCUGAAGGACGCUGCAGGCCAUGGAAAAUGAUCAAUAAUACGUUAGAUGGGAAAUCAUGUACAUUAACAGUAGUGAAUCACUGAUACUAAAGGAAAGAAGAAAAUGCAAGCAUAUUUUAUACUGAAGCAGUGACUAUAGAAACCCAUGCCCAGAGUAUGGGGUUACCUGAGAAAGCUUGAACCCAGAUCUCCCCUAAGCCAGGGGUUGCCCUGCAGGGCACUGAACACACAGAGUCCUGGCACAGCAUGACUCUCAGAGGUCCCAUGUGCAGAAGGCAUUACUCCUACAGGGGACAGAGCCUUGGGUCAGACACAUGCUGGCAUCUUCAGAAAGGGAAAGUACAGGCUGCUGUCAUUUCCUUGGACUACACUAAAUGGAGAUACCUGACCCACACAGCCAUAUCCCAUCUUCCUGAGAGGCCACCAGCAGGCUGGGAGCACUGGGGCAGCUAGCCAUGGGUAAGGACAAGCAGCUCCUCCUCAGUCUUCAGGCAGUACCCAGAAGAGGGAGGAGAUUAAUGUCUUUUCCAUCAUCUGAAGAGCUCAUGCACAUGAGCCUUCCUCCCCUCCCAGGAGCACCAGUGCCUCUAUGGGCACCUCCUGGCACCAAUAGCAGCUACGCACCAAAGGACACAGGGCCCCACAGGAGACAAAGGCAGCACAUGACACGUUGCCAGGACUGCUCCUGAGGAAAGCGAUCCAGAAACUUCUCUGAAACUCACAUUGGUUUCUGUGAGGCCAUGGAAGUCUUUGGGACUGCAGCAUUUCUUCAGGACCUUCCUUCAGGAGGAGCCACCUCAGGGCUGACAGCCACCAUGCAGCAGCAGGAAGCCACACUGCUGGUCUGCCUUUAUGCAGGGCCAGGCCCUGUGCCUGAGGGUUGGACCUUUUCCAGUCGCGGGUUGUACGGCUGCUGCAGAAGCUGCUUCUGGCCACAUGUUAACACAGGCUGUGACAGGCUGUAAUUUCAGUGCUGAGGCAGUGCUCAGCUUUGGAGCACAACGAAGGGGAUAGCUGCUGCACGGGAGCUCACAGUAUGUACCGUGGUGGCCGCUGUCAUGGGUCUCUAGCUGGUGACAUGCAGGCUGUGAUGGGAAAACUGCUUAGGAGCUGAGUCUGCAUAUUCUGCCAACAAGCAGGGGUUAUCAGCGUGAUGAAGUCUAUCAAUAUCCUAAUUCUUCAAAUUGGCAUUUGAUUUUAAAAUUCAGCAAGACUGAUGGAGCCAAAGCUUAGCGGAAAACACAACAGAUGUCAAGAGAUUCAUGCUAAAACUGGGAGAGAGCUGUGUAAAUGCAGCACAGGUGGGCUGAACUGCAGUCAUUUCACCUUCAGGAAAUAAAGUUUUUGCACUAGAAAAAAAACUCUUUCGUGGAAGUCUGAAAUGACGUUGCUUUACAGCCACUGAAGCAAACCAACACCACCUGUGGAGCGUCUGCUGCUGUCCCACAGCCUUCACUGGAAAGGACUGGAAGAAAGGCACAGUAAAACCUGGAGGCAAGUGCUGUUCACAGCUGCCCCGGCAUUGUGUUUGCAGAGGGAGUUUGUACCAGGGAUAUGAAGAAAUCGUUCUCUUCAGUUUCCAUAUCAGGUUUUCAGAUCAGCGCUCUUCCCAGCCUUUCCUCCUCCGGGCUGCUUGCAGUGUGGAGUGCUCUUUUCCUGUUUACCCUUACAUGCCUUUUUAUUACCAGGCAGGAUUUUUUUUUUUUUUUUUUUUUUUUUUAAGCACACUCAGGCGCCUGCUUGUUUUUUCUAAAGCUCUACGGGGAUUUGUUGGCGUCUUUUGUAGCAGGUCAUCCUGUUUUCAGACAAAGUUCCUGUCUUGUUAAAAACAAUCAUUUCUGGAUGUCUCUGUAUGGCUCCUGCUUUUAAUCAUCCUGAGUCCUUGAGCCACGUAGUCCACACCCCAUUUAUGUAGGUUGUGUUUGUUUGCGGCUUAAAAAAUAAUAAUUAAAAAAAAUAAUAAUAAAAAAAAUGAAGAAAGAAAAGAAAGGAAGAACCACUGUGGCACACUAAGGAUAAAGGCUACGAGUCACAGACAGAGUGGCGGCAGCAGCCAGUCCCUUUCCCACCGCUGACAGUGCCCUUUCCUCUGUGGGUGGGAGCAGGCUGGCUGCAAAUGUUGGGAAGGGAUCAGCCAGAACAGUGCUGCUGGGCAGGGUCUGUGCUCAGAGCACCUUGCUGAAAGAACAUGGCAACAAUCAUAGAAUCAUAGCAUCACCAAGAUUGGAAAAGACCUCCAAGAUCAUCCAGUCCAACCAUUCACCUAUCACCAAUAUUUCCCAUUAAACCAUGUCCCUCAUUACAACAUCUAAACAUUUCUUGAAUACCUCCAGGGAUGGAGAUAAUGCUCUAUAUGGCUCUAAAACCCAUGGAUGGACAGUAGUAAUGCUAGUCUAAUCCUAUAUAGCUUGUUGGCUUUAAAUUUAAUGUUGAGAGAAAAGCUCAGACAACUCUCUGCCAUAUUCCACAUGUUUUAAUUCUGUAUGUGACACCUAUAACUGUAGCAAUGGCAAGUAACAAGAGUGCAUCCAUGCAGCCAACACCUCCUGUGAUGGGGGGACUGCUGUUGUUUAAAUUGUAGUGAGGCUGUUACAGGUAUCCUGCAUGGCUUUCUUUGAGACAGAGAUAGGAGAUUAGCCUUUUGGUAGACGAUAUUCUUGGUCAUGGGAGGGCAACUAGUGCCUCUUAGCUAGUCCCCCUUCCAAGCUGGCGGCCAGUGACAUGCAAUUUAAAAGUUAGAAGACGUAAGUAAACCCCAGUGAUCAGUGAUAAAAAAUGCUUGAGUGUUUAACAAGCAUAUUUAGUACCCUUCACAUAUUAGUAGAUGGGGAAAAUAAUUCCACAGAAGGUGGCAUGCCUUGCCUUAAGCUGGGACUAGAAGUCCAGUCUCUUUUACCUCUCCCAAGAGGAAGGGCUCACUCCGUAUGCCAGCCUGUGUUGCUGCUCUGGAGCAGAGAACUGAAUCUGUGAGCUCUGGAGCUUGCACUUUCCAGCCUCCUGUCUGUUGGGGAGUACUGCUAUUACAAAUGGCAAAUAAUAAAAAAAAAGACAACUAAUGCAUUCUUCUUACUGGCUCCCACAUCUUAAGGGGUCUUGGCCCACCUCCUAGGAGCCAUUUACUCACACAGUGAAAGCUCACUUUCAAGGGUACCUUCCAGAGUUUUUAUGUACUGUUAUGUUCCAGGAGGUGAUGAAACAAGUUUCAAAAUAUGUAUAUUUAAAGGUGUUGUGGCUUGCAGGUCCAUCAAGAGAAACAGUCUAUUAUGUGCUUCCUUAUGCUGAACACUCCUGCAAAAUGAUCAUCAAUCAAAGUUUCAGCCUUUGGUAAAUUUACCCCUGACAGUUCUUAUACGAAGAUGUUACACAAUCCCUAACCCAAAUGCUUUGAUCUCCUAAGUCAAAGUCAAUAUGUCCAGCUGGAUAAAUAGCAUUAAGCCCAGCACUCUUCCUGUGUAAGUGAUAAAAAAAUUGAUGGAGUCCUGACUUGCAGAAGCACAGGUGCUUUAAAUCAAUGGACUACAGUUCACCAAAGCUAUUAAUACCAACCCUGGAAGUCCUGACUGGAAGAAAAGAGCUUUGUAAUUUUAAUGCACCUUAGUUCAGAAGUGGAGUUCAAAUGAGGUCAUUUGCAGAUGGCCACAAACACUGGGAUGGUGCAGGUCAGUUAAGCCAUUUGCUUUAACUGGACUAGAGGCACAGAGCUGAGAUUCAGUCUCCCUGCAGCACAACAGGGUGAACUUUCCCAGAUGUGUCUGCAUAAACAGAUUUACAGCCCUGUCCCUGGUCUCUGUCCUAAACAGUCCUCUCUUCCUACGCAUUAGAGAUGCCCCCCUCCCUCCUUUUCUCAGGACCCUCAGACUUUUUCAAAACUCAUUUAUUCUUCUUGGACUCCAAACUGACUAUGGUAAGAAUGCCUCCUCUUCUUCUUCCUCCUCCCUGCAUUAUCACAGACUGAGAGUCCCUCUCCCUGGGUAACAGCAGGGCUCAGGCAGGUUUCCUGCCCUACAGCUUACUCACUUCCCAGCAUCAAUUAUCUAUUACAGAUCCUGCCUUAGUGCCCAUUCCCCUCCUCCCUGAUAAUAAUGAAAUUCUUGAAAGCUUGAGAUAAAUAUCCUGUUACAAAACAGAUGAUCAGGAUGAAUAUUUCUUUCAUCCUCUAAGUCACUACUUGUGGGGGAGUGGAGAUAGUCUGUUUAGCCAUAUGGAUGGUUUUCCAUCAUUCGCAAAUGUCACUGACAGCAGGGCAAAAAAUAAUUCUUUGAUAUGAUCUUUGGAUUGUGUCAGUUAAAACCCCCAAUUCUUGGAAGGUAAAAUUCACCCUGGCUCAAGGGCCACUCCAUAGAAAAUAUUGGCC
rnacentral:lncRNA from 1 species